rnacentral:rRNA from 1 species
GACCUGACUGGGCGGUCUUGCCGUGAGGUAAGCACUGCGCUGGUCGGGUCUUUCCUUCUGGGGAACCUGUGUGCUCUUAAAUGGGUGCACAGGGAAUCCAGGACCUUUACCUUGAAAAAAUUAGAGUGUUUAAAGCAGGCCUACGCUUGAAUACAUUAGCAUGGAAUAAUAGAAUAGGACUUUGGUUCUAUUUUGUUGGUUUCUAGGACCGAAGUA